rnacentral:lncRNA from 1 species
UUUUUUUUUUUUUUUUAAGAAACAGUAGUUGAAGAGGUAGCUCAAUAAAAUUAUGCUUAGUCUCUGUAGAACUAGAAGGCCUGGUGCUGAAACUUUUUGUCAAUUUAUUUUUACACUCAGACUGUUAACUUGAGAAGCUUACAUAGUGUUUAUGAAAUGGUAUACCCAACAUAGCUUCACAAGGACUAUAUACAUACAGUUGCGCUUAUAGUAGGAUUCUAAUGAUAUCAGGUGAGAAAUUUUACAUUUUUUUAAACUAAAUUUGUAUCAUAUUAAGUUCCACAGUCAAUAAGACUCCUCUGUGCAUAGCAGUGGGCUCUAUGAAUAGGAUAGUCGUGUCAAGAUUCAAGUGAAGGCUGACACUUCACAUCUCUUUUUACUUAAAAAUCUGCUUGUUUGUUUAUUUGUUUGUUUGCUUUUUAAUAAGCCAAGUAAGCAAGAAGAACAGUGAGAGCUCAUGCUUCAGUGAGAAAGGACAGGUGCUACAUAGAGUGUGAGCUGUUAAGUUACAACCUAGGGAAGAGACCUGGGAACUACUGUACUAUUCUCUUGAAAUUUUGGCCCAGUAAGCUGCUACAUCCAGUUCAACUAACAAAAUCCUGUAUACCACAGAGAAGAAUAAAGAGAAAACCAAACUGACAAACAUCCUUCUUUUAUUUAAGACCAAACUGCAGCUGGAAUACCCAGUACAGUUCUGCUUACUACACUUCAAGAAAGAUCUGAAAGCGGAAAAAAGAACCAAAGAAGGGCAGUUCAAGCGACCAAAGGGUGGGUGGAAGGUGCUGCAGUAUGAAUACUGUACGAAUAUUUUGACUCUGGUCUGAAAAGAUAAAAGAAUUAUCGAAAACUACAUGGAAUAAUUGAAGUCCCUUCAAGUUUGAAAGUAAGCAUUUUAGGACAAAUAAAAGGAAAUUCAACUUUGUACUUGUGGAAACUAAUCCCUAAAUAUGAACAGGUUUAUAUUGACUCAUGGGUAGCCGGUCCAUAAUAAGUUACUGGAAACUAGGAUGUCUGAACAUCAAGGAAGACAGCCAUAGUCUCUAACAGUGCCUCUCUUGGUCUGUCUCAAAUUAAAUUGGAUGGUAAAGGUAUGGUCCAAUAUAAAGUUUUUCCUAGUUAUCUCUUAAAAGUCAGUUCCACUUAAUGCCAAUGUUGGCAAGUCUUGCCUUUGUUUAUUCCAGUGCCAGUAUUUUCUGCCUGUUUGUUUUGUUGGCAUCCGAGUUUAUUUACUUGUAUACUACAUACAGUUUACAUCUAACCACUCCUUCCCAGGCUAAUUCCACUUAUACUUGAUAUCCACCCACGAGGGCCCAUCUCUUCUCAACUCCUGUGUAGACAGUAUGUUCAAUGGAUAUUUAUUGAACCCUUACUGUGGGCAAAACAUACUGGAUAAUUGGAGAGGAGAACAGAUUCCUUAUUUAGUAAAACCUACUGAGCACAAUCUAGUGAAUCAUUACAGUAUAACCUCAUUAUCUUGAGGUGUAUUAUGGUAAUAUUUUAUACCACUCAUAUCCUAGUGUAAUUAUAAAACCCAAUAUACUAUCAUAGAAAAGUAAUUUUAUGGUUGUUUGCCACUUAAAAGUAUCUAGUAUUUGUUGUAUCCCAUUACUACAAAUAAUGAAGAAAACCUGUGAUAAGCUGAUCUGUUGUGCAGUGAUUAAUAUACUAGAGUAUAACUCUUGGCUCUGUCAAGCAAAUAGGUAAUCCCCAAAGUAACAAGUAUUUAACUUUACAUUAAAGCAGACCCUGGGUGCUAUAAUUAGAUUAUUUUGAGGCAGACAGCUGUUAUCCCAAUGGACUUAGUAUAUUCUGUAUUGAAGAAAGUGUUUACCGGAUACGACUUUUUAGUGAUCUACUUGUACAUUUUAUAGGGGACAUAUUAUGUGUAUAGUUAAUAAAUAACUUUAUAGUGUCACAAAUGUUUUGGAUUCCUUAGUUCCUUAUCAGGAUAUGAAGCUUGUUUAUCCUACCAUUAAUACCACCACAUUCGGAUUUUUGUUGUAUUUUUGCCACAUAUUUAAAACUGUCAAUAUCUGAAAUCUGGAAACAGUGUUAAGCCUUUGACCAUUUUUUCUAAAAUGUAGUAGGAUUACACAUAAAUGAAGAGAGCGGUAAAAUGAAGGUUAUUUGUUGGGGGUUUUUGGUUUUUUUUUUUUUUUUUUUAACUUUUUUUCAGCCUGCCCAAACUCAAAAAGGCAACAGGCACCAUGUGAGAAUUAUAAAUUUUGGCUUCAUUUUUGUUGUUUUUAUUUUGAAUCAAGUUGGAAAUGCUUUUAAAGUUUUAUUUUUAAGGACACAAUAAAAAUUGGUAAAAC